rnacentral:rRNA from 1 species
CCUACGGGUGGCAGCAGUGGGGAAUAUUGGACAAUGGGCGAAAACCUGAUCCAGCCAUGCCGCGUGUGUGAAGAAGGCCUUCGGGUUGUAAAGCACUUUCAGUGGGGAAGAAAGCCUUGGGGCUAAUACCCUCGAGGAAGGACAUCACCCACAGAAGAAGCACCGGCUAACUCCGUGCCAGCAGCCGCGGUAAUACGGAGGGUGCGAGCGUUAAUCGGAAUUACUGGGCGUAAAGCGCGCGUAGGCGGUCUGAUAAGCCGGUUGUGAAAGCCCCGGGCUCAACCUGGGAACGGCAUCCGGAACUGUCAGGCUAGAGUGCAGGAGAGGAAGGUAGAAUUCCCGGUGUAGCGGUGAAAUGCGUAGAGAUCGGGAGGAAUACCAGUGGCGAAGGCGGCCUUCUGGACUGACACUGACGCUGAGGUGCGAAAGCGUGGGUAGCAAACAGGAUUAGAUACCCUUGUAGUC